rnacentral:tRNA from 1 species
AAGUAGUUAGUUUAAUAAAAACUUUUGAUUUCGGCUCAAACGAUUAUGGUUAAAUUCCAUAACCUCUUA